AGAGUUUGAUCAUGGCUCAGGACGAACGCUGGCGGCGUGCUUAACACAUGCAAGUCGAACGCGAAAGGCUCUUCGGAGCCGAGUAGAGUGGCGAACGGGUGAGUAACACGUGGGCAACCUGCCCCAAGGAGCGGGACAACCCGGGGAAACUCGGGCUAAUACCGCAUGAUUCGCCGGCACUCAAGUGCCGGCGGCAAAUGGUAGCUUCGGCCUCCGCCUUGGGAUGGGCCCGCGGCGCAUUAGCUUGUUGGUGAGGUAACGGCCCACCAAGGCGACGAUGCGUAGCUGGUCUGAGAGGACGACCAGCCACACUGGGACUGAGACACGGCCCAGACUCCUACGGGAGGCAGCAGUGGGGAAUCUUGCGCAAUGGGCGGAAGCCUGACGCAGCAACGCCGCGUGUGGGAAGACGGCCUUCGGGUUGUAAACCACUUUCAGGGGGGACGAAGCUUCCGAGGUUAAUAGCCUACGGGGUGACGGUACCCCCAGAAGAAGCCCCGGCUAACUACGUGCCAGCAGCCGCGGUA
rnacentral:rRNA from 1 species